UACAGAGGUCUCAAGCGUGUUCGGAUUCAUUGGGCGUAAAGGGUGCGUAGGCGGCGCGGUAAGUCGGGUGUGAAAUCUUGGAGCUUAACUCCGAAACUGCAUUCGAUACUGCCGUGCUUUGAGGACUGGGAGAGGAGACUGGAAUUUACGGUGUAGCGGUGAAAUGCGCAGAUAUCGGGAGGAACACCAGCGAAGGCAGCUCGCUGGGACGG
rnacentral:rRNA from 1 species